GAUGAACGCUGGCGGCGUGCCUAAUACAUGCAAGUCGAGCGAACGGACGAGAAGCUUGCUUCUCUGAUGUUAGCGGCGGACGGGUGAGUAACACGUGGAUAACCUACCUAUAAGACUGGGAUCACUUCGGGAAACCGGAGUUAAUACCGGAUAAUAUUUUGAACCGCAUGGUUCAAAAGUGAAAGACGGUCUUGCUGACACUUAUAGAUGUAUCCGCGCUGCAUUAGCUAGUUGGUAAGGUAACGGCUUCCCAUGGCAACGAUGCAUAGCCGACCUGAGAGGGUGAUCGGCCACACUGGAGCUGAGACACGGUCCAGACUCCUACGGGAGGCAGCAGUAGGGAAUCUUCCGCAAUGGGCGAAAGCCUGACGGAGCAACGCCGCGUGAGUGAUGAAGGUCUUCGGAUCGUAUAACUCUGUUAUUGGGGAAGAACAUAUGUGUAAGUAACUGUGCACAUCUUGACGGUACCUAGUCAGAAAGCCACGGCUAACUACGUG
rnacentral:rRNA from 1 species